UAUAUCGGAACGUACCCUGGAGUGGGGGAUAACGUAGCGAAAGCUACGCUAAUACCGCAUACGAUCCAAGGAUGAAAGCAGGGGACCGCAAGGCCUCGUGCUCCUGGAGCGGCCGAUAUCUGAUUAGCUAGUUGGUGGGGUAAAGGCCUACCAAGGCAUCGAUCAGUAGCUGGUCUGAGAGGACGACCAGCCACACUGGAACUGAGACACGGUCCAGACUCCUACGGGAGGCAGCAGUGGGGAAUUUUGGACAAUGGGCGCAAGCCUGAUCCAGCAAUGCCGCGUGAGUGAAGAAGGCCUUCGGGUUGUAAAGCUCUUUUGUCAGGGAAGAAACGGUGGGAGCUAAUAUCUUUCACUAAUGACGGUACCUGAAGAAUAAGCACCGGCUAACUACGUGCCAGCAGCCGCGGUAAUACGUAGGGUGCAAGCGUUAAUCGGAAUUACUGGGCGUAAAGCGUGCGCAGGCGGUUUUGUAAGUCUGUCGUGAAAUCCCCGGGCUCAACCUGGGAAUGGCGAUGGAGACUGCAAGGCUAGAAUCUGGC
rnacentral:rRNA from 1 species